GACGAACGCUGACGGCGUGCUUAACACAUGCAAGUCGAACGGAAAGGCCCUGCUUUUGUGGGGUGCUCGAGUGGCGAACGGGUGAGUAACACGUGAGUAACCUGCCCUUGACUUUGGGAUAACUUCAGGAAACUGGGGCUAAUACCGGAUAGGAGCUCCUGCUGCAUGGUGGGGGUUGGAAAGUUUCGGCGGUUGGGGAUGGACUCGCGGCUUAUCAGCUUGUUGGUGGGGUAGUGGCUUACCAAGGCUUUGACGGGUAGCCGGCCUGAGAGGGUGACCGGCCACAUUGGGACUGAGAUACGGCCCAGACUCCUACGGGAGGCAGCAGUGGGGAAUAUUGCACAAUGGGCGGAAGCCUGAUGCAGCAACGCCGCGUGCGGGAUGACGGCCUUCGGGUUGUAAACCGCUUUCGCCUGUGACGAAGCGUGAGUGACGGUAAUGGGUAAAGAAGCGCCGGCUAACUACGUG
rnacentral:rRNA from 1 species